ensembl:snRNA U4 U4 spliceosomal RNA
AGCUUUAUGCAUUGGCAGUAUCAUAGCCAAUGAUGUUUAUCCAAGGCAUGAUUAUUGCUAAUUGAGAACUCACUAAUAAG